rnacentral:rRNA from 1 species
UGGGAACGUGCCCUUUGGUUCGGGACAACUCCGGGAAACUGGAGCUAAUACCGGAUACGCCCUUCGGGGGAAAGAUUUAUUGCCAAAGGAUCGGCCCGCGUCUGAUUAGCUAGUUGGUAGGGUAAUGGCCUACCAAGGCGACGAUCAGUAGCUGGUCUGAGAGGAUGAUCAGCCACACUGGGACUGAGACACGGCCCAGACUCCUACGGGAGGCAG